rfam:Trichomalopsis sarcophagae strain Alberta scaffold3942, whole genome shotgun sequence.
CGAUCGGCCCUUUUGAGGGCCGCCAAUAUUUUUUAAAACGUAGUAU